AUUCCAGCUCCAAUAGCGUAUUUUAAAGUUGUUGCGGUUAAAACGUUCGUAGUCGUAUUUCUGCUUCGGGUGUUUCCUUCCAAAGGGGACAUUCGAGCAUUAGUGUGGGCGGUUUUCGUCACUUAACUGUGCCAAAGCAUAAACCCGCACUGAUUAUUUUGAGGAAAUUAGAGUGUUUAAAACAAGCAUGGUUAUGAAUAUAAUAGCAUGGGACAAUGUGAAACGGGGACGAGAUUGGCGUGGCUUUUGGCUCGGCCCAAUUUUCAAAAGGAGCAUUUGGAGGUAUUCGUAUUGAGCUGCUAGAGGUGAAAUUCUUGGAUUUUCUUAAGACGAACAAAUGCGAAAGCAUUUACCAAGGAUGUUUUCAUUG
rnacentral:rRNA from 1 species